rnacentral:ncRNA from 2 species
AUUCAACCUAGUACGAGAGGAACCGUUGA